AGGGGCGGGGGGCCUAACCCUGGCAAGUCGAACGCUCUGGGCAAUCAGAGAGUGGCGGACGGGUGAGUAACCCCUGUGGUGAUCUACCUUGGAGUGAGGAAUACCAGCGAGAACUCGCUGACAAUACCGCAUACCCUCUUUCACGAGAGGAAAGUCGUAAGACGCUCUAAGAUGAGCCUGCGUCCGAUUAGCCAGUUGGUGGGGUAAUGGCCUACCAAAGCGACGAUCGGUAGCUGGUCUGAGAGGACGAUCAGCCACACUGGGAUUGAGAACGGCCCAGACUCCUACGGGGGGCAGCAGUGAGGAAUUUUCGUCAAUGGGGGAAACCCUGAACGAGCAACGCCGCGUGCAGGAUGACGGCCUUCGGGUUGUAAACUGCUUUU
rnacentral:rRNA from 1 species